rnacentral:misc_RNA from 1 species
UCACCAAAUUUAAGAUUUACUGCUGUAAGUAUUUCUUGCACCUAAUACAAAUAAAAGGCUGAGGUUUGGUGUUGCGUUUCAUUGCUGAAGUGCAUCUAGAGGUGUUUCUGCAUCUAUGUUCUUUUUCUCCAUGGUAAUUCAGGCAUAGCUACACUCUAGAACUGAGCCAUUAUAGUAUUAUUGGCCUAUUGGGGCAAAUAUUGUAAGUCCAUCUUGCUUCAUUUAGGCUUACUUUAUUCUUUAUCUUUAGUAGUUGCAAGCUAUAAUGCCCGCCCAAUGCUG